UGGUGGAGUGAUUUGUCUGGUUAAUUCCGUUAACGAACGAGACCUCGACCUGCUAAAUAGUUCAACGAAUCCUUCGGGAUUCGUCUGUGACUUCUUAGAGGGACUAUCGGUGGGUAGCCGAUGGAAGUUCGAGGCAAUAACA
rnacentral:rRNA from 1 species